rnacentral:ncRNA from 1 species
CACCAGGUUGAUUCUGCCUGACGUAGACGCUAUUCCCUAAGAUUGACCCAUGCAUGUCUUUGACGUACUAUGUACUGAAAGAUGGACUGCUCAGUAAUACUCACUUUAUUUGAUGUACAUUAUACAUAACUACGUUAAAGUGUAGCUAACAUAUGUACAGUAAGAGUGAGACCUAUCAGCUAGUUGUUAAGGUAAUGGCUUAACAAGGCAAUAACGGGUAACGGUAUUACUUUGUAAUAUUCCGGAGAAGGAGCCUGAGAGACGGCUACUAAGUCUAAGGAUUGCAGCAGGGGCGAAACUUGACCUAUGGAUAUUAUCUGAGGCAGUUAUGGGAAGUAACAUAGUUGUUUCACAUUUUAAACGUAUGUGAGCAGAUUAGUUGGAGGGCAAAUCGAGUGCCAGCAGCCGCGGUAAUACUUGUUCCAAGAGUGUGUAUGAUGAUUGAUGCAGUUAAAAAGUCCGUAGUUUUAUUAUUAAGAAGCAAUAUGAGGUGUACUGUAUAGU